rnacentral:rRNA from 1 species
GACGAACGCUGGCGGCGUGCUUAACACAUGCAAGUCGAACGGAAAGGCCCUGCUUUUGUGGGGUGCUCGAGUGGCGAACGGGUGAGUAACACGUGAGUAACCUGCCCUUGACUUUGGGAUAACUUCAGGAAACUGGGGCUAAUACCGGAUAGGAGCUCCUGCUGCAUGGUGGGGGUUGGAAAGUUUCGGCGGUUGGGGAUGGACUCGCGGCUUAUCAGCUUGUUGGUGGGGUAGUGGCUUACCAAGGCUUUGACGGGUAGCCGGCCUGAGAGGGUGACCGGCCACAAUGGGACUGAGAUACGGCCCAGACUCCUACGGGAGGCAGCAGUGGGGAAUAUUGCACAAUGGGCGGAAGCCUGAGGCAGCAACGCCGCGUGCGGGAUGACGGCCUUCGGGUUGUAAACCGCUUUCGCCUGUGACGAAGCGUGAGUGACGGUAAUGGGUAAAGAAGCACCGGCUAACUACGUG